rnacentral:rRNA from 1 species
AGUGAACGCUGGCGGUAGGCCUAACACAUGCAAGUCGAACGGCAGCACAGUAAGAGCUUGCUCUUACGGGUGGCGAGUGGCGGACGGGUGAGGAAUACAUCGGAAUCUACUUUUUCGUGGGGGAUAACGUAGGGAAACUUACGCUAAUACCGCAUACGACCUACGGGUGAAAGCAGGGGAUCUUCGGACCUUGCGCGAUUGAAUGAGCCGAUGUCGGAUUAGCUAGUUGGCGGGGUAAAGGCCCACCAAGGCGACGAUCCGUAGCUGGUCUGAGAGGAUGAUCAGCCAAAAUGGAACUGAGACACGGUUCAGACUCCCAAGGGAGGCAGCAGGGGGGAAUAUUGGAAAAUGGGGGCAAGGCUGAUCCAGCCAUACCGCGUGGGUGAAGAAGGCCUUCGGGUUGUAAAGGCCUUUUGUUGGGAAAGAAAAGCAGCAGGUUAAUACCCCGCUGUUCUGAAGGUACCCAAAGAAUAAGCACCGGCUAACUUCGUG